rnacentral:rRNA from 1 species
ACGGGGUGCAGCAGGCGCGAAAACUCCACAAUGCGCGCAAGCGUGAUGGGGGGACUCCGAGUGUUCCUCGAAUGGGGAACUUUUGUAGUAUGUAAAAAGUACUACGAAUAAGAGCUGGGUAAGACUGGUGCCAGCCUCCGCGGUAAAACCAGCAGCUCUAGUGGUAGUCGGUACUAUUGGGCUUAAAGCGUUCGUAGCCGGUCUAGUAAGUUCUUUGUGAAAUCCUUGGGCUUAACCUAAGGGCUGGCAAAGAAUACUAUUAGACUUGGAGCCGGGGGGAGGUUGAGGGAAUUUCUGGGGUAGCGGUGAAAUGCUAUAAUCCCAGGAAGACCUCCAAGGGCGAAGGCACUCAACCAAAACGGGCUCGACGGUGAGGGACGAAAGCUAGGGUAUCAAACCGGAUUAGAUACCCGGGUAGUCCUAGCCACAAACGAUGCGGACUAGGUGUUUCUUGAACUUCGAGUUCGAGAGGUGCUGAAAGGAAACUAUUAAGUCCGCCGCCUGGGGAGUACGGCCGCAAGGCUGAAACUUAAAGGAAUUGGCGGGGGAGCACCACAAGGGGUGGAGUCUGCGGUUCAAUUGGAUACAACGCCGGAGAACUUACCAGGGACGACGGCAUAAUGAAGGUCAGUCUGAAGGGCUUACUAGAAGAGCCGAGAGGUAGUGCAUGGCCGUCGCCAGCUCGUACCGUGAGGCGUGCGGUUAAGUCCGCUAACGAGCGAGACCUGUGCCUUUAUUUGCUACUCUUUUCGAUGGAAAAGGG